CUAGCUAUAUAUUCUGGAGACUCUCUCGUCCGUAAGUGGAGAGAACGGCGAACGAAGCGGCGAUUGCACCAUGAGAGCCAAGUGGAAGAAGAAGCGUAUGAGGAGACUAAAGAGGAAGCGCCGAAAGAUGAGACAGCGAUCCAAGUAGUCCAUUCCAUAGGACGUGUCUCAAAAUUUCUAUCUUAUGUAAUACCUUUCUAGUUUCUUGAUUUUUAAGCAGCUUCUUGAAUCAGUUUUGAACCUUUUGUGUUUUUUGCAUUUUAGUCUUGAACAAUCAUCUCAGUCUAUAUUUUGAAUUUGGUUCACUCCUAUAUCCACUAGAUGCAGUUCUGGCAAAACAGAGAUUUGGUUUUUGAAUCUUUUAACAGUUAAUC